CAGACUGUUAUAUCCAGGUGUAUGUGCCCAGCUCUCCUACCAGACUGUUCAUCUGCCUGUGGCACGGCUCCUUGCACACAGUGAUAAGAAACAUCUGAAGCAGUUGACAGAUCAUGAAGCGGGUCCUCUGAGAAAUGAGAGGCAUUCUGCCAGAUGGCAUUUUUUUGUUUUUUUUGAGACGAAGUCUCGCCCUGUCACCCAGGCUAGAGUGCAGUGGCACGAUCUCGGCUCACUGCAACCUCCGCCUCCCAGUUUCAAGUGAUUCUCCUGCCUCAGCCUCCCGAGUAGGAUGGCUUUUAAAAUGUUUUCUCCAGCGUCAUCUGCCUCAUUAACAGCGAUUUUUGUCUUAGAAGUCUCUCUUUGAGUUUCUAAAUGGACAUGACUGCUUAUUCUGUCUGUUAGGAAUGCACUCCGCUCUAGUCCUUCAAUUAGCCCAUCACGUUGUCACUGUGGCAUCUGUAUGCACAUUUUCUGCAGUGUUAAUGUCAUCUUCAUUGUCCAAUUGUGGCAUCAUGUUGGUGCUCAAAACGUUGCAGAUUUUGGAACAUUUUGGAUUUCAGACUUUUAGAGUAGAGAUGUUCAGGCUCUACUACUUCUUAUUUCAGAGAAAAACAUAAUAUCUAAAUAACUAAUAAAAACUUGGUUGGAGAAUGCAGACUUCUAGAAAUGACUGUUUAAUCUGCUUAUGAUAAAUAAUCCUCUUUGCUCUACUGCAAAGGGGAGACUACUGCUGUUACUGUUUUGUGUCAUCAUGUCCUGAUCAAACACUGAUUUAAAAAAAAAAUAAAACAAGUACAUUGUAUAUGUAAAUUUAGACUGUAAUAAUAUAUCCUUGAGAAAUAAAUAUUAUAUGGACUCCAUUUUUUUCUGACAGUCAAUUAAGCACAAAAAGAUUUUUAAAGCACUGAUUUUUGCAUUCUUAAAUGACAAAUGAAGUCUUCUUGAAAUAAGAUUUUUAAUGAUUUAGAGAAAUAUUUGCACAUACACUAGCUUGGUGUUGAUUCUCAAUUUUUAAUUUUUUUUUAAUCCUUUCCCUGGCAUUUUCAUCGUUUCCUUUUUUUUUUUUUUUUUUUUUUUUUUUUUUGAGACAGAGUUUCACUCUUGUUGCCCAGGCUGGAGUGC